rnacentral:misc_RNA from 1 species
UUGAGCCGAGGUGUGUGUGUUGUGAGUGAUUUUGGGUGUAAAGUCAGAUUUCCAUUAUUCUAUCGAAAUGCCUUAUGAUUUCCCUAUUUUUACUUAAUAAUUAGGAUUUAACACUUAGGGUUUAUUUUAUAAAAGUACUGUGAUAAGUAUGGAUGCUCUGUGUAUUGAAAAUAAUUACAUUUUAUUGAUGUAAUGACAUUGAAGAAAAUAAAAAAAAUGUCAACAAAAUCUCAAAUAUCUACAGAACUAAGCGACAGCAUCAGUAAUGUUCUGGGUAAAAAUGUUAAAAUACUUUACAAAUCCCUUGUUCGCAUGGAAUCGAGAGGUGAUAAAGUGGAUAACAAAGUAUUGGUUGUGACAUCAUAUAGAAUCUAUAUAACAACAGCCAAAAUUCCAACUAGGGUUGAUAAUGGAUUUCACUUGAUGGAAAUAGAGGCAAUCGAAAGUAAAAAGGCAAACCAUUUGUCGAUAACACUCAUUCAUGAACACAAACCAGUGUCUAUUCUCAUCGGUGAAGAAAAGCAAUCAGAAGGUGUUAUGAAUGUUAUGCAUGCACUUGUUGCCGCAUUUGAUGACUUAUAUCCAAAUGUACCAAUAGAGGACAUAAUAUGCAAGGUCAAUUUACCGUUUCAACUACAACAAGUGAGCGGUACUAGGAAACAUUCUACUUGCGGGGAUUUCUCUAACCAAUAUGCGGCCAUGUGCGAUCUUUGCCAAACUCCGUUUAGGGCCGAGGUGGCGUGGGACAUUGACACCAUCUACUUGGCACAUGAUAUUAGAAUGCUACAUUUGAAGGAUUUCGACCAUUUAGAUCAAAGAGACCUGAUCCCUCUAUUGAUCGCGCUACAACACAACACCUGGUUCACCGGCGUGUGCGGCGACGGCGUGCGCGUGGGUGGCGAAGCUUGGGAGGCGUUGUCCCGCGUCGUCCGCUGCGCGUCGCCCGCGCCGCAACGCCUGAGCUGGCGCGCGGCCGCGUUGAGACAUGACCAUGCGGCGAGAUUAGGGCAUGCGCUGGUUAGGGCGCGGCGUCGCCCAGCGAUGCACACUAUAGACUUCUCUCAGAAUCAUAUUGAAGAUAAAGGUGCAAUCAGCAUUCUAUCCGGGUUGGCAUUGAACCCCGACGGGCUGCGACAAAUCUCACUUUCCCAAUGCGGCCUCACGGGCAAGACUGUCAGCCAUCUCGCUGCCAUGCUCAACGACAACCCCAACCAUCUCUCCACGUUGUCGCAUCUCGACCUGUCGCACAACAACCUCAAAGACGAUGUUCACAAUUUAUACAACUUCCUAGCGCAACCCAACGUACUGACUCAUCUCAAUUUGACCAACACGGAAACCACAUUAGAAAAUAUGUGGGGCGCUUUACUACGAGGUUGUGCAGCCCGACUCUCGGAGCUACUAGUAGGACGAAACCCGUGGUCAGCCGUGCGGCGGCCCAAGGACCCACCUCCAUCGUUCCGCCAGUUCUUCACUGCCUGCCUCGCUCUAAACACACUCGACUUCUCAUACUGCAAGAUGUUGCCUGAUGCUCUCAAGAGCCUACUCCUAGGUCUAGCGUGCAACGAGAGCGCGACGGGAGUAAAGCUGAAUCUGUCAGGCGUCCUGUCUUCAUCACAAGCCGCUCACGUGCUCGAGUCAUGCAUCCACGGCGUGCGCUGUCUGCAGUCGCUCGACCUUUCUGACAACAGUAUGGAAUUAGAACUGUCCGGUAUCGUCCGAGCUAUUGGCAAGAACCACUCAAUUCACCAGCUCUCUCUAAGCAGACUUACAGGGAAAAGAUCAUAUGCGCCACCUUUAAUACAGGCAUUAGUCCAUGUUUUACAAGAACCAGACACAGCUUUAAUUUCUUUGGAUCUUAGUGAUUGUAAACUAAAGGGCGACCUGUACGGGUUGCUGAACGCGCUGGGCGGCGCGCGGCGCCUGCGCACGCUGGACGUGGGCGGCAACCUGGCGGGCGACGCGGGCGCGCGGCUGCUGGCCAAGGCUCUGCAGUGCAACUGUACGCUGCACACGCUCUACAUCGACCGCAACGCGUUCAGCCUGCAAGGUCUAACGGACAUCGCGACGGCGCUGCGGCGCUCGGUGUCGGUGCGGCGCGUGGAGUUCCCGGGCUGCGACGCGGCGGCCGGCGGCCGCGGCGCCAGCGAGCGCGUCGCCGCCUUGUGGCGAGAGCUGCACGAGAGAUUGGCGAACAACGCGGCACCCGCGACGACGCACACGCUCCGCGCGCUGGCGCUGGAGCGCGCGUGGGGCGGCGGCGAGGCGGCGGCGGCGCUGGCCGCGCAGGCCGCCGCCGCCCUGCCGCCGCCGCCGCUGCCCGCCGCGCUCGAGCGCGCCGCCGCCGCCGCGCACCAGCUGCUGCACCAGUACCUGCAGAGAUGCAGCGAAGUGUUCGCGGCCAUGGGCGGCGGCGGCGCGAGCGGCGAACUCGUCACGCUGCAAGCCGUACGGGAUGCCAUGGCGCCGUGCUCCUCCACGCUACAGGACCUGCUCAAUGAAGCGGUAGAGAGUCUGGCGCUGUCGGCGUGCGAGGGAGUGGACAGUGCCGAUAGCGACCCAGUGCCAAGCAGCGAAGCAGACAUACCCGACCUUCUCACGCCGAUAUCACACUCAGCGAAAUUGGAUUAUUUGAACUUGGCAACUCCACUGGGCUGCCGGCGGCGCGAGCGCGGCGCGCGUCGCGUGCGGCCCAAGUCGGUGGCCGAGCAGCAGUGCUCCAGCAACGAGAUGCUGUCCCUGCCGCCGCUGCACGGCGAGGCCGGCGACGCGCUCGCGGACCUGCCCGCCAACAAGCUGCGCCACCUCGUCAAGGGUCGUCCAAGAAGACUAAAAACCAGAGCACCAUCUCGGCCUAUCACGGAUCAAUCACAAGACAUAGACGAAGGUCUAGACGAGUUCUGGCGCACAUGCCGCACGCCGCCGGGCAGCGAGGAGGCCUCGCUAUCAGCACGCACGCCGCUCACGUCGCGCUCUCUACACUCGCUGUCUUCACUCGCGUCGCCCUCGCCGCUGCGCCGCUCGCCCGCGCUGCCGAGAGACGACACCAUGUAUAGCGUAACGUCAGGCGAAAGCACACCGGUUUUAUUAGAAUGCGAAGUGUCGCGCUGCAAAUCUUCGGACAACGUGGGCGCCAAGGCAGCUCCCACCACCCCGCCGCCGUCUCGAUCGUCGGAUGAUGUCAAUGCUAUGGGGAACGGGUGCGCGCGCACGCCCGGCAAGGCGCGGCCCUGGUCCGUCGCCGGCGUCAACCCGGACAACGCCGCGUGUACCACAGAGGGCGUGGAGGCGUGCGUCGGGGGCAGCAUCGUCGGCAUCACGCCGGGCGCCGCACUAACCAGUAACAUCCUUUCAGACGCUAUUUUGUACUGAGCUACUAGUGUCAAUGUGCCGUCUGGCCUGUAUCUAGGUUCAAUGCUACGAGAUCAUCCGAUAACUCCAGAAGAAGGUGCCGAAGAAGCCUAAGUGACGCGCAUCGUGAGCGGUGCGAUGAGUUUUACGUGAUAAGUUGAGCAGGGUUCAAUGUCCAGAUAUUGCAGACACUCGGAUUAUAUUCUCGGAUGCUCACUAUUGUGCCAGUUAGAAUUAUAACAUUUUAGACUCUAGCUACUGAAUAGUCAUUCUAAUUGUACGAACUAACUGAACGCCAUCUAUUAUACGAUACGUAUGUCCAAUGGUUAAUUAUAACGGCAUUUGUAAACUAAUGAAAUGACAAAAAUAAUUAUUAUUUCAAAUAUAAUAAGAUUAUAAUAAUAGAGUCUUGAAAAGUGAAUAACCAUUUAUAUUUACUGUGAUUGAGUUAGUAUUACGCGUUUAAUUUACUAAUAUAUUAUAGUCAUGCUUAAUUUAUACAUUUUAUUGAUUGUUAUUAUCAGUUUGUUAUGGAUUUUUGUUUAUAUAAAGAGAAAAUCGGUAUAAAGGUAUGAAAUUGGUCUUGCCUAGUCACGUUUAAAAGGCCUACAGUUACGCACAAUUUACUUUAUAAAACGUUCGAAUUACAAAUUGUAGAAUAUAUUGAGACUUCCAAUCGAUUUCACGAUAUAAAUAGUUAUCUUCCAAUUUUACAUUCCUUUUUAUAAUGUAAAGUAGCAGUCAAGUAUUUUAAAAAUUAUGAACAAGUGUGAUUUUUAAAAUAAAGUUCAAAACGUGAGGUAAUUUUAAGACUUAGUAGAUUUGGAGUGAUGUAAAGGUUCAAUUUUACGAUAAUUUUGUAAACGUAGAGCUCGCCCCUUACAUUUUAAGUGUUCAUUAGAAUAACUACUUAUAAAAUCAAUUACAUUCAUUUAUCUUUAUUUGUAGGUAUGUAAAAAACUGAUGAAAACUAUGUAGAUGUAUAUUGCUAAAUUAUUUGAUAGUAUUUUUAUAUUCAUUCCAAUUAUUUGAUGGUUUUAUCCAGCUCUUUGGUACCAGACUGAUUUGAAGGUACUUUUAUUUUAUGGUGCAAUUUUAUGUCUAGAGCGUUGUGAUAAUCUGUUUACAAUUACAUAUAAUAUUCAAAGAUAUGAA